UACGUAGGGUGCGAGCGUUGUCCGGAAUUAUUGGGCGUAAAGGGUGCGUAGGUGGUUUCUUAAGUCAGAGGUGAAAGGCUACGGCUCAACCGUAGUAAGCCUUUGAAACUGGGAAACUUGAGUGCAGGAGAGGAGAGUGGAAUUCCUAGUGUAGCGGUGAAAUGCGUAGAUAUUAGGAGGAACACCAGUUGCGAAGGCGGCUCUCUGGACUGUAACUGACACUGAGGCACGAAAGUGUGGGGAGCAAACAGGAUUAGAUACCCUGGUAGUCCCUGA
rnacentral:rRNA from 1 species